AUAUUUUUUGUUAAUAUUGUUUCUUUUGUAUAGUGUUUAAAAUAAUAUAAUUGUAUUUUGAUUGUUAUAUCUAGAAUUUCACCCGUGAUAUACCGUCUCAAUUUACUAUUGACCAAACCCGUCCUACCAUCUAAUGAAUUUCACCCAUGGUAUACCGUCUCGUAUUACUAUCGACCCAAACUCGUCCUAUCAUCUAACCCCGUGCAGUGAAAUUAAACAUUAUCUUAUUAUUUUUGUUUAAGU
rnacentral:sRNA from 1 species